GGGAAUUUCCUUUUCUCCAUCUUCAAUCUCAGAACCUUGUGCAGAGUGAUGCCGUAUUGGCAUGGCAUCCAUCAACCCCUUCAGCAAAGGAUGUUCAAAGGUUCAAACAAAACUAAGGUGCAUCGGAUCGACGUCGUUUCGAGAUGGAUUCUAAGGACCCAAAUUUCAAACAGAUCUCUUGAAAUUGCUCAAUUUUCAGGGUACUGGAGUUACUAUGCUUGGUGGUUUAUGAACACACUUUUUAUCAAUAAAGGUUGUCACAAAUCAGCAAGCCCUUAUGGGCUUAUCUACUUCAGUGGAUGAAGUUGCAUAAUCUUUCACUGUAGGCCGCAGCCAAUCAAAUACUUGAAAUUAUGCGUUUUGGAAAUACCCUUCUAACUCAAUCAACAGCUUCAAAUUCCCAUUAUGAUAAUAGGAGAUGGAUUUUGCCACAAAUGAAUGAAGAUUAAGGUGGUCGCAAGUAUUAAAGACAUUCACAGUAUUUGUUAAAGUUGUGUCUCAAGAGAUAUCGGCUAAUUGAGAGAAUAUUACAUCAAAUAAUUUUUUUUUUUCAUUUCUCAUCGUGUU